rnacentral:rRNA from 1 species
UCGAGAAUCUUCGGCAAUGGGCGCAAGCCUGACCGAGCGACGCCGCGUGGAGGACGAAGGCCUUCGGGUUGUAAACUCCUGUCGAGGGGGAAGAAGGGCCGCAAGGCCUUGACUGAUCCCUGGAGGAAGCACGGGCUAAGUUCGUGCCAGCAGCCGCGGUAAGACGAACCGUGCGAACGUUAUUCGGAAUCACUGGGCUUAAAGCGCGUGUAGGCGGAUGAGCACGUCUGUCGCUGAAAUCCCCCGGCUCAACCGGGGAACGGGCGCGGAUACGGCUGGUCUGGAGGGGCGUAGGGGGACCUGGAACUUCCGGUGGAGCGGUGAAAUGCGUUGAGAUCGGAAGGAACGCCCGUGGCGAAAGCGAGGUCCUGGACGCCUACUGACGCUGAGACGCGAAAGCCAGGGGAGCGAACGGGAUUAGAUACCCCCGUAGUCC